AUGAGCAAGGCUCCGAGCCCCCGAUACCAAGGCCUCUCGACAUACGAGAAGGAGUACUUGGCAGUCAUUGUUGCCGUCGACCAGUGGCGCCCAUACCUCCAGCAUGCCGAGUUCACCAUCCUUACUGAUCAGCGCAGCUUGACACAUCUGACAGAGCAGAGACUUUUGACACCAUGGCAACAGCGAGCCUUCACUAAACUACUCGGACUCCGAUACAUCAUCAAGUACAAGAAAGGGGCCGAGAACACAGCAGCGGAUGCCUGGUCCAGAGCAACAACAACUGAAGUGCUGCACACUAUCAGCGUGUGCCAACCAGCAUGGCUCGAAGAUAUUAUCGUCAGCUACAACACCAAUCCUCAGGCGCAGAAACUCCUCGAGCAGCUGGCUGUUCGCGAGGAUCCCAAAGGACGAUUCCAACUACAAAAUGGGCUGCUCCGCUUUCGGGGCCGCAUUUGGCUGGGAGGAACCACAGCUAUGCAGCAGCGCAUCAUCGCGACUUUCCACGACAGCCCGAUGGGUGGCCACUCCGGCUUCCCGGUGACCUACCGACGUAUCCGCAGGCUGUUUGCCUGGCCCAAGAUGAAGGCGCAUGUGCAACAGUAUGUGUGUUGCUGUCAGGUCUGUCAGCAAGCCAAACCAGAUCGCGCAGCUUCGCCGGGGCUAUUGAUGCCGUUGCCCAUUCCAAAAGAGUCAUGGGAUCUAAUCACCAUGGACUUUGUGGACGGCUUGACACAAUCGGGUCAACACAACUGCUUGCUCGUGGUGGUCGACAAAAGGACCCGGUUUGCCCACUUCCUUCCCCUGGCUCACCCUUACACAGCAGCUAAAGUAGCCGUACUCUACAUGCAACAACUGUACAAGCUACAUGGUUUUCCGGGGGCUAUUGUAUCUCAUCGCGACCCAGUUUUCACCAGCCAUUUUUGGCAAGAACUAUUCAAAUAUGCAGGAACGGAACUGCGCAUGAGCACGGCAAAUCAUCCGUAG
rnacentral:rRNA from 1 species